rnacentral:rRNA from 1 species
GACGUAGGGCGCGAGCGUUGUCCGGAUUUAUUGGGCGUAAAGAGCUCGUAGGCGGCUUGUUGCGUCAGCUGUGAAAACCCGCAGCUCAACUGUGGGCUUGCAGCUGAUACGGGCAGGUUUGAGUUCGGUAGGGGAGACUGGAAUUCCUGGUGUAGCGGUGAAAUGCGCAGAUAUCAGGAGGAACACCGGUGGCGAAGGCGGCGAUCUGGGUAGAUACUGACGCUGAGGUGCGAAAGCGUGGGGAGCAAACAGG